rnacentral:lncRNA from 1 species
UUCUUUCUAUGAUAGUUAAUUUUAUGUGUCAACUUGACUGGGCCACAGGAUGCUGAGAUACCUGGUUCAACAUUAUUUAUGGGUGUUGAAAAGCUAAUUCACAGCUCCCCAGCUGCCUACUUGUGGGGACAGCUUUCUUCGGCUGCAGGCAGUAAUUGCUUUACUGCUAUCCUAAAUUGCCCUGGAGAAGAAAGCAAAGCUUUGCUUGCUUUAUCCUGUGGAUUUAAAGCAGUGCCUAUACUUGCUCUGCAUAGAAGAGAACUUCUCCUACAGAUAUUUUUAUUCUAAUCCACGCAACACAUUCCAGUUGAAACAAGAUUUUGAAGACACGCCCUAGUGUACAUUUUAUCUGCACUGGCCUCAUGAGGAAAAUCAAAUAAGAUUAUCUUACAUUACAAAAUUUUCUUGCAUACUUUAUGCAACAGUGGAAACAACACAGGAUUGGAAUUAGAAGACCUGGUUUUAAAUACCAAAUUGUUCCCCAGAAUGAUCUGAUCCUACUGCUUAGCCUAUCUGGAUGUCAGUUUCUACAUCUCUAAAAGGAAGACACACAGAGGAGAAUGCUAUCUGAAGAUGGAGGCAGAGAUUGAAGUGAUGCAUCUACAGGGAUUGCUGGCCGCCACCACAAGCUAGAAGAAGCAAGGGAGGAUUAUUCCCUAGAGCCUUUGGAUGGAGCAAGUAGAAUCCAAGAAGACUCUAAAACCUCCAGUACUCAUGAAGAGAUGAGUUUGCUCAUUAUCAAUCUCAUUGAUCCUUAGCAUCGGAGCUGAGAGGGAGCCAGGAUGUUCAUCACACUGUGUAAAUGGCCUCUGUGAAGAACUUCCUGGGGUAUGGUCCAGCUUCCUGGAAUGGAAAAUUCUUCAAAUCAAAGGCAGAGGGUAAGGAAGAAAAUGAGAACUGAAACUGCUCCAAUCCCAGCUAGGAGAGAGGAAGAACUGUAAAGAAACCCCCCAAAUUACAUUGUAGAAUUAUUUUUCCCUAUGGUAUUAGGUUGAUCCCCCUUUCCUGGCCACCAGCAGCCCCUUUCCACACUUCUAGGAGCACCAGGAUCAAUUACCAUUCAUUGUUAUUUCAUGUGCAUAGACAACAGAACUUGCUGCUGUCAUAAAAGUAAAGGAACAGAUUUCUUAAAUUGCUACUUGAAGGAGCUCUUCUAUAUCAGUGCCAUUAAAUUAAAUUUCUGCUCUGUAUAAUGCAUAAAAAUGGCUUGUGAAUUUUUUUUCCUUGGGUGACUCAUUUUGUUUGAACUCCAAAGCAAUUCCUCAGAAACGGAAAGAGGCUAUUUAAAAAUGAGCUGUGAGAUUGUCAUUAAAAAUCAUUUUUUUUAAAGCAAAGGAGGUCUCUCCUAGCACCAAAUGAUAAAAUACAAAUUUGAGAAUCCUGAACUCAGUUCUCAAAGGUAUCACCUUUGAAAAGGAAGUUUAAAAAAUAUUAAGUAACCUUUUAAAAAGUAAUUUUAAGGAAGUGAAGAAAUAAGAAUAAAAUCUUAAUUUUUAAGUGAAAAACUUUACUUUUUCUUAAGAGAAGAGUUUCUUGGUACCUCUUUCUGUCUUUUGUUUUUGUUUUUGUUU